CUAGUAUCCCAGGCGGAUGUUACUCCUACCAUACAAAUAGGUGUUUCCUUUUGCUGUCUCCUAUGUGCCAAGCAAGAUAUAGGCUCUGGGGAAUCAGAAACAAAAGAGAAUCACUUGUUCCUCUCACAGCACUCAGUCCUUACUGAGAGAAGGACAAAACAAAAUGUCCUGUCUGGAAUGCAGGGAAACCAGAACUUCAGGUCAGGGGACAUUUCUGUUGAACCGUGUGGAGUUUAAGCUUAAAAUAUUAAUGAAUGUAUCUAAAAUUCACUUUGCCUUUACUUUAUGCGUCCAUC
rnacentral:lncRNA from 1 species